rnacentral:RNase_P_RNA from 1 species
AGCGGCGGACGGAACGUCGCCGCGGACUUUUAGUUCGCGGAGGAACUUCCGGACUUCUCAAGGGAGCGCGCCCGCCGAAAGGCGGGGGACAUAAAGGGAAACCUUUAUGCCACGGAAAGUGCAGCAGAAAAUAUACCGCCCGCAGAGUAGUUUAAGGCGGGUAAGGGUGAAAAGGCGCGGUAAGAGCGCACCGCUUCGGCGGCAACGCCGAAGGCAAUGAAAACCCCGCGCGAAGCAAGGAUAAACAUGCGCAGGUCCCCUUGCCGAUUGCGCUUAUGCGCAAAGCGCAGAGUAAUCCGCUCAGAUAAAUGACGUUCGGCCUUAGGGCUACAGAAUCCGGGGUAUAGUCCGCCGCUUAAA